CCCUCCCCAGGACUCUGGGGCUCCCACUACCAGCACGCUGGGAGUCUUGGGGAGGUCACUGCACCUCUCUGAGCCUCAGUUUGCUCCUCUGAAUAAUGGGGAGAAGAGAGGAACAAUCACCUAGUGCCAUUGUAGGGACUCAAUGAGCUCCUGCCUGGACGAGAAGCUGGGCCCUAUGAAAGGUCAGAUGGAUCGGCUCUCCAGGGCUCUGUUCUAGUCGGGAGUCAGACAAUCACACGAGACUCCUCAGGCAGCUGCCAUCCAGUACAGUCAAUGUGAUGCCCUCCUGUCUCCUCUAGUUACAGAUUCAUCCUCUAUUGCAGAGUGGACAACGCGCACACCCGACGAUGGAAAAAGGCCUUGGCCUUCAUUCUCGGCACGUGGAUGGAAUCCUAUCCCCAGGACUUUUGCCAGCCCCCACACUUUCCCAGCUUGAGAAGGGUAUUGGCCUUCCUCGGGUGCAGCAUGCCAGACUCGCAGGUGGAGCAUCAAGCUCGCCUUCUGCUUUCACAGUUGCUGCACCCUGAGCCCAGCGAGGCAGAGAGUCAGGGCACGGCAGAGCUUCUGGAGAGCGGUUCGUGUACUGAGUCUCCCUGAUUGGUGAGACGUUUCCCUUCCUUGGGAGGAACAUGGAAAGACAGUCAUGUUUGGUUUUCCUCACCAGCUCCUGAGAAAGAUCCCAACCCAGCUGAACAUCGCCCCCCUGCUCCAACUCUAGUGCCCACCACACCUCAGAGCCACAGAUCGACGUCCAGCGCCACAGCCGCCUCGAGCCUCAGCCCGGAUGGCACUUCAAGUGAUGGAAAGACCAUUCACGUCCUCCCAGCGACGAGCCUCAGCCCCUGGACCGUGGCCCCAUCGCUGAUUUCUGCCCCUUCCCCUUUACCGCCAGUUCAUUAAAGUUCUGUUUUGUCUUGCACAUGCUUCAUGCUUUCCUUUAAUUUCUCUUGUGAUGUUCACUUCAACAGGAUGUCAUUCCUUGGGCCUUUCCAAAUGUCCAUUUCCCUGGCCAGGAGGACGCUCACAGUGUUGCCCGACCGUCAUCCUGACCUCGUUCAAGAACACUGUCGUGGGAGGGAAGGCCUCUCCCUGUUCUCCUCUCAGUCCUCCUCCCUCCCACCCCG